rnacentral:rRNA from 1 species
UACGUAGGGUGCAAGCGUUGUCCGGAAUUAUUGGGCGUAAAGAGCUCGUAGGCGGUCUGUUGCGUCGGCUGUGAAAACCCGGGGCUCAACUCCGGGCCUGCAGCCGAUACGGGCAGACUAGAGUUCGGCAGGGGAGACUGGAAUUCCUGGUGUAGCGGUGAAAUGCGCAGAUAUCAGGAGGAACACCGGUGGCGAAGGCGGGUCUCUGGGCCGGUACUGACGCUGAGACGCGAAAGCGUGGGGAGCGAACAGG